CAGAGCCCCGCUUGAUGGCAGGUGCUGGACAAUAACAAUGCUGGGAUCCCCGCCUCUGCUGCCACUUUCCUCACCAGCAUGGAUCCUGCCCUCUCCUUUGUGUCACUCACUAAAGGCUCAAAGUCUGGUUCAAGGUAGAAACAAUUUUACGUGUCUCAGAAAGAACAAAGAGUUUAAGAUGGUGAUGCUGAGAUUCUGGACAAGAUGGACAUGGUGAUCUCUACUGGAAUCCGGGGACUGCUGUACUACGGUCAUAUACUACUGCUGGGGGCCUGGUGUUCCCGGGGUGCACUGGGGGCCUUGCUGUACUGAUAUGGUCAUAUGCUACUGGGGGCCUGCUGUUGCUGAGGUACAUUGUCAGCAGGCCUAGGCAUCGAAAAUGACACAACUGUCUCCUGUUCAGAAGCACUUAGAAUCUCCUGCAUCGUGUAACAAGUGUUUAGAGAUCCCUAGAUCAGGGACUCUGGGGACAGUUUUUAAUUUACUGAUAAGUAAAGUUUUAAAAUGUGACAUCUUUGAGUACUGCUGCCCUAGUCUAUUAAACAAAGAGAAGCAAUUCCCAGGCCAGGAUCAUCCUACUAACCCAAACCUGAUAAUGCUGAUGUGGCCCAGGGCUGGCAGGAUGGCCUGGACUGUAACUAGGCAUCCCCUGCUUCCAUUUGCAGACAUGUGGCUUUGCCCUGAUGGAGACAUAGUGACAGAUCAUUUUGUACUACGUAGGUACAGAUCCAAAGGGCAUCUUAGGCUGGCUGUCAUUAAGUUCCAGUGAGGAACACCUGUCUUCUUCAGUUCCUGUUUCUCCAGUUUGCAUGCAGCCUCAGCCCAUCAGAAGGCAGCGGAUAAGAGUUCCCCCUUGGAUGGCUUUAAGUUGGCAAACAGGGGUAGAAAAGAGGCCAAGCUGCGUGGUGGCAGGCACCUGUAAUCCCA
rnacentral:lncRNA from 10 species